rnacentral:antisense_RNA from 23 species
GGGUGCUUGAGGCUAUCUGCCUCGGGCAUGAACACCAACGGCAGAUAGAGAAAAGCCCCAGUUAACAUUACGCGUCCUGCAAGACGCUUAACAUUAAUCUGAGCUCAAUCCAUGCUGAAACAUGUAAGUUAGCCUCUCUUACUGUGCGAAAGGCAGGAGAAGCAGGCUAUGAAG